rnacentral:rRNA from 1 species
UACGUAGGAGGCGAGCGUUGUCCGGAGUUACUGGGCGUAAAGGGUGCGCAGGCGGCCGCGCGCGUGGGUGGUGAAAUCUCCCGGCUCAACUGGGAGGGGGCCAUCCAGACGGCGUGGCUUGAGGCUCGGAGGGGGGCGUGGAAUUCCGGGUGGAGCGGUGAAAUGCGUAGAUAUCAAGUGGAACACCAGUGGCGAAGGCGAGUCUCUGGACAUUUCCUGACGCUGAGGCACGAAAGCCAGGGGAGCAAACGGG